AACGAACGCUGGCGGCAUGCCUAACACAUGCAAGUCGAACGAUGCUUUCGGGCAUAGUGGCGCACGGGUGCGUAACGCGUGGGAAUCUGCCCUUGGGUUCGGAAUAACAGUGAGAAAUUGCUGCUAAUACCGGAUGAUGUCUUCGGACCAAAGAUUUAUCGCCCAGGGAUGAGCCCGCGUAGGAUUAGCUAGUUGGUGGGGUAAUGGCCUACCAAGGCGACGAUCCUUAGCUGGUCUGAGAGGAUGAUCAGCCACACUGGGACUGAGACACGGCCCAGACUCCUACGGGAGGCAGCGGUGGGGAAUAUUGGACAAUGGGCGCAAGCCUGAUCCAGCAAUGCCGCGUGAGUGAUGAAGGCCUUAGGGUUGUAAAGCUCUUUUACCCGGGAUGAUAAUGACAGUACCGGGAGAAUAAGCUCCGGCUAACUCCGUG
rnacentral:rRNA from 1 species